UAUGCAACCUACCGCGAACAGGAGGAUAACGCUGGGAAACCGGCACUAAUAUUUCCAUAAUAUCACGACGGGCAUCGUUCGUGGUUGAAAGCUCCGGCGGUUCGCGAUGGGCAUGCGUUGUAUUAGGUAGUUGGUAGGGUAACGGCCUACCAAGCCUACGAUACAUAGGGGGACUGAGAGGGUUAACCCCCCACACUGGUACUGAGACACGGACCAGACUCCUACGGGAGGCAGCAGUGAGGAAUAUUGGUCAAUGGGCGCAAGCCUGAACCAGCCAUGCCGCGUGCAGGAAGACGGCUCUAUGAGUUGUAAACUGCUUUUGCAAGGGGAUAAACCCGGUUACGAGUAACCGGUUGAAGGUACCUUGCGAAUAAGGAUCGGCUAACUCCGUGCCAGCAGGCGCGGUAAUACGGAGGAUCCAAGCGUUAUCCGGAUUUAUUGGGUUUAAAGGGUGCGUAGGCGGCCUGUUAAGUUAGAGGUGAAAUCCCGUGGCUCAACCACGGAACCGCCUCUGAUACUGGCAGGCUAGAGAGUAGAUGCGGUAGGCGGAAUGUGUAGUGUAGCGGUGAAAUGCUUAGAGAUUACACAGAACACCGAUCGCGAAGGCAGCUUACCAAUCUAUGUCUGACGUUGAGGCACGAAAGCGUGGGUAGCAAACAGGAUUAGAUACCCUGGUAGUCCACGCAGUAAACGAUGAUAGCUCGUUGUCGGCGAUACACAGUCGGUGACUUAGCGAAAGCGUUAAGCUAUCCACCUGGGGAGUACGUUCGCAAGAAUG
rnacentral:rRNA from 1 species